rnacentral:pre_miRNA from 1 species
UGGAGGAACAACCACAGUGGCGGGGCCAGCUCUGGAGCCCUGGAUUCAGCUCCCACAGUAACUUCAGAGCUCUGUGUCUGCAGGGGCUUGGAUGCUCCUGGUGCAGG